rnacentral:lncRNA from 1 species
GAUCGAAAUCGGCAACCAAAACACCCAAGUCGAAGAAGCCGGUCGCGUUACGUGGCGCGCUGGUUGCUGCAGCUGCCUGCAGCCGUUUCUGUCUAGCUACUUCGCGACGGGCAACACCGCCAUGAGGCCACGAGCUCUUGCUCUCGUCUCGUUCCUGGCGGCCGCGCUGCUGUGCCUGUGCGCGGCGGCGGUUGUGGCGGCUGCCUCGCCCGUGUCGGUCGCCGGAAAGCUCGCCGUGGAAGGUCAGUGUGCAUCCGGCUUUACCGCACAAUCAACCAGUAGUGUUUAAUUAAAAGGCUUAAUCGUUUGUUUAAUUAAAUCUGUGUGCCGCGGUUGUGCUUGUUGAAGACUUGUUGGAGUACUGGUCGACCUAGUGGAUUUUGGUGUGUGAUUUUUUUUUUCUUUUUCAGGAAUGGGAAUGGCGCUCGAGCAAGGGAUAGACCACUUGCUCGUUCUCGCAGCGGUCUUCGUCAUGUGCCUCUUCCGCUGAUCGUGAACGGUGUCCGGCGCUGAUUGAUUUGACCAGUUCGUGUAUUCUUUGAUUAUGUAGAGAGUUUGCCGGCGCUGUACAAAUGCUAAUAAUAAUGUCGCAAAAUAAGGUGAUCGCCGAAUAUGUGAUCAUCCCUUAAGAUUCAACAAUGGACUUGAAAUAAAACAGUUUACCACAGACGUCGUGCUCGCUGAUCUUUAUACUCUCAUCCACGCCUUCGCACGGUUGCACGAUUGACCUGGAGCAUUCAUUAGUCAUAGCUGGGCUAGGCUCUUAUGGCCUGUAUACCACGCAUGAGAAUGUAUUCGGGCCGAAAAUAUCUGGGCCAAGUAAACACAGUUUCAAUCAGCUUGACUAUCAGCGGCACGUGGGUUGAAGCACAAUUUUUUCUAUCUUUUUAUUUAUUCAUUAUUGAAAAUAAUAAUCAAAAUAAUAAAUUCGGUAACAACAACCGCACGGUACCAUGUCGAGGGUACCGACUACUAAAUUCACGCAACAUGAAGAACUACUCGGCAACAUAAGUAAGGGUCGAGCAUUAACUAGACACCAAAUAAGGUGCACGAAGAAAGCAACCGCCGCCGCCGCCUUGGCUCUCCGCGGUGCCACCGUGGUCUCCUUCUUCUCUCCCAAUUGUUAUUGUGUACGUGGCUCGAGGAGCUAGGACCCGACCUCUUCAUAGAUUUAGGUUUUCUUAGUAUUAGAUUUUUCUAGGGUUUGGUUUCUAGCGAGGUGGUGGCAGCAACGAUGUUUUGGAAUUAGGUCUCUUGCUAUCUCGGUGGCGUUCGAUCUAGCGCCGACGAUGGGCCAAUGAUAGUUUGAUUUGUCGGAUAUGUUUUUUAUUUUUAGAUCUUGGCAGUUAGUGUGUUCAUCAUUGGAACCAAUUGAUUGGUUUUUGAUGUGGCGAUUUUGGCCUCUUCUUUGUUCUACAAUAAGGUCGGACAUCUCUAAAACUUUAUUCUGGCGAUAAAGGAUAAUAAGUCCGUGUUCAUUAGAGGGUUUCUCUAACCAAUGUUCUUUUAGGCCCUAUUCGUUUGUCUCCUUUCUGGACCGUUUUUGGUAAGAACUAAUCCGACGUUGUUUAAACUAUUCAAGGAAACUCGGCUAGGAAUCAUUUCCAACCCCAACCGAAUGAGGCCUUAGUGGAUAUUAGAUCUCGUUGCGAGUGUGAUAGAAUCUAGAUGGCUAGAGUGGGAUGAAUGAUCUAUAAAAUUUUCUUACUAACUCAUAAUUAACUAGAUCAAGUUGAUUAGUACAAGAUAUGACACUAAUAGCAGCUACUUGCUCUAGCUCUAUUUCACACAACGCAAACCUCCUACACAAGUCUAUUAGCUUAGUCUCUAGGUUGAUUUUGCACAAACAAGCAAGCUACUACUACAAGCUAGAGAGCUACAACUAACAAAAGCUACUAACAAGAGCAACUAAAAGCUAUUUACAACUGCAACAAAAGCACGAAAACUACACAUGCUAUGCAAACAACUACCACACUAACAAGGUAGCUAUGAAUGUUAUUCUAAGAAUGAUAUUGAUCAGAUCAACACAAAGCAAAGAGAUGAUCACCAAGAUACAUCCUCGAGGUUUCGGUUGCUUGCCAGCAUCUUACGUCCUUGUUGAGACGAGUCCCACUUGUUUUCACGAGCUAAUUGGCCUCACACCUCAAGGCCUCACACCGGUGCCGCAAGAACCAGACCAUAAGUAAACUCACGGAAGAUGUCGUUAGGAAUAGAAAAUCAAAUGAAAAGAGUAGUAGGACGUAACAUGUUUAUUACCCGGUAACAGACUUUCCAAGCUAUCAGUACUAGGGAUCAUGGAACGGAACCAGUUGUUUCAGCUUGUGGACAGCAGCGAUCUAGAAAUUAAUAUAUUUUGAGAUGGAGGGAAAAUUAUUUUGGCACGGCGCAACUCACGGGGAACCUGUGGCAUGGACGUGCCCCAGCAUGGCAUCCAGUUGACUUUGCCGAUUGGCAGUGCAGCUUGUGAGAAACCAGCAAAGUUUAGGAGGUGUUCACACCUCUCCUAGGAAGCCGCAACUUUGUUUAUAUAGGAUAGAAACGACCCAAUCGUGGCUUAAGCAACAAUCAAGAUAUAUUUGAUUUGGCCAGAUUAUAACAGAUUUGAUACAACACAUUCCAUAUACUCCCCCCAUAUAUCAUUUUUUCCUAAAUAUUUUUAUAAAAAUAAGAAGUAAAAGUUUUGUUUUAGAGAAUGUGUCACUGUCCUAAAUGACAUUAUAUUUUAAUGAAAAUAUUUUUCAAGACAAAUCUAUUUAUAUAUUUUUCACAUUUGCAAACUGAACAAUCUAAAAAUUAUCGGUGAUUUAUAUUUUCAAUGUUUAACUCAAAACAUAUUCAUAACGACAUUUAAAUUCUAUACGAAAGGAGUACAUUGAUACGGCCAAAUCAUAUCUUUGAUGGUUUCCUAACACGAGUGAUUACAUUGAUCAUAUUUCUAACACAGCUCAGACAGCAUGCGUUAUUUCAAUAUACAACGUACUCCAACGUGCCGACCCUGAUGGACACACUCAAAACUCGGGCAGUCCUGUCAGAUUGCCGUCCCUCUACAUAAACCGACGCGCGUGUGCAGGCAGGCCGCUGCAUCGAUCGGCAACCAAAACAUCGAAGAACAUCGCGCGUUUCUGGCUAUAUUUCGCGACGAGCAACACCGCGCGCCAUGAGGCCACAAGCCCUUGCUCUCGUCUCCUUCCUGGCCGCCGCGCUGCUGUGCCUGGGCGCCGCGGCCGCGUCGCCCAUCAUGUCGGUCGCCGGCAAGUUCGCCGUGGAAGGUCAGUGUGCAUCCGCGCGCUUUUACCGUGCAUAUCAAUCAGAAGUGUCUAAAUGACAGGCUUAAUCGUUUGUUUAACCUGUGUGCCGCGGUUAUGCUAGUUGAAGACCUGUUGGAGUACUGAUCGACCUAGUGGAUUUUGGUGUGUGAUGUUUUUUUUUUCUCUCCUUUUUUUUUUCAGGAAUGGGAAUGGCCCUCGACCAAGGGAUAGACCACUUCCUCGUCCUCGCAGCGGUCUUCGUCAUGUGCCUCUUCCGCUGAUUGUCCAGCAACGAACGGUGUCUGCCGCUUAUUGUUGAUUUCAUCAGCUCGUGUAUUCUUUGUUGAUUAUGUAGAGAGAGUUUGCCGGCGCUGUGCAAAUGCUAAUAAUGUCACAAAAUAAGGUGAUCGCCGAAUAUGUGAUCAUCCCUUGGCAUUCCACAAUCAAGGACUUUAAAACUACUUAUCACACACGUCGUGCUCGAUCUAGCCAUUCCCGUGUUUUCCCCCCAGCUCUUAGCAAUUUCUGUGCAAACUGCAAAGUGCAUAUUAGUAUAUAAUAGUACUAGUCGGCCAUCCGCGCUUCGCUGCGGUACUUUGAUAGAUAGUCACAGGGGUGUCAUAGGGAUGAGUACUGAAGAAAAUGGUAGGGAUAUUUUCCGACCAUAUUCGAGAUCAAGUUCGUUUAGAGGGGUUC